rnacentral:rRNA from 1 species
GACGAACCGUGCGAACGUUAUUCGGAAUCACUGGGCUUAAAGCGCGUGUAGGCGGGACGGCACGUCUGUCGCUGAAAUCCCCCGGCUCAACCGGGGAACGGGCGCGGAUACGACCGUCCUGGAGGGGCGUAGGGGGACCUGGAACUUCCGGUGGAGCGGUGAAAUGCGUUGAGAUCGGAAGGAACGCCCGUGGCGAAAGCGAGGUCCUGGACGCUUACUGACGCUGAGACGCGAAAGCGUGGGGAGCGAACAGG